GCAACCUUCUUUGCAGGUUGGACAGUUGAGGGAGGUUUCAGAUAAAAUGCAUAAUGCAUGACUUAAAUUAUUUUUGGAAGUGGAACUUGGGCCGGAUUUGCAUCCUGUUCCUCCACCAGACAAGACAAAUGAUGAUAUUCUGCUGUUCUUCAAGCUAUAUCUAGAGAAAGAAGAGUUCUCGUAUGUUGGAAGGCUUUUUGUUAAGGGUAUUGGUAAGCCUGUGGAUAUCUUAACAAUACUAAAUGUAAUGGCUGGCUUUGCCCCCAAUGAAGAAAUUGAUCUUUAUAAGGAAAUUAACUGUGAAUCUAGUGUCAAGUGUGAACACAUUGACAAGAAACACACUUUUCAAUCUAGCCAGGUAUUUAUUAUGUAGGGGU